CGUUUUCUCCAGUUGGUGGUUAAGGAAAAAUAUGUGGAAAUCACAUGGAAGAUGUACAGAGUCACCUAUCAAGCAGCUUUUAAGCGGCAGAGGAGGAUUAAGAGACUGUGCAGUUUUCUUUUGGAGAAGGUGAAGACUCAUCUCAUAAGGAUUUAAACCUCAGGAGUUGCAGUGCCAGGCGGGAUGCAUUUUAGGCACGCUUGGAAAUCUGAAACUCAUGGAGACACUUUAAGGAUUAUAAAAAAUGUGUAAUGUGUCUCUCCACAAGACAGCGUCCCAGCCCAAAGUCACUGGGAGAGCAGGAUAUUGCUUCUAUGAUCCGUUUGGCCUCCACAUGGGGAGUGUGGGAGUGGUGAGGUCUGGGAGAUCACGACCUUAAUUCUCUCCAAGACAUACGGUUUAAUUAACACUGGAGGAAUCCUCACUGGCUCCAGACCUCUACACUGGGAAUGUACAGGGGAAUUGGACUGCCAAGGCCCCCUUCUAUGUAGUCCACAUUGCAAGAAGACCACCUCACAGGGAUUUUCCCCUUCACCAGGUAACCACAAAGGAAGAAAAGAAGCACAUUAUCCACAUGUACAACAUACCCCCCCAACACGCACGCAUACACACACGCAAGCUUUCUGUGCUACUCAAUGCUGACCACCAGCACAGCAAGAAACACGCACGCACGCACACACAACAUAUUAUCUCUAUGAGGUGUUAUACAUCAGUGACCACCAACACAGGGUCUCAGUGUUCUCUAAUCCACAAUCAGGCUGAAUAAUGCGCUCCAUGCAAUGGAGGGAUUACACUGUCGGAUUAAUGGGACUUUUAAUUUGAGUCAUUGUGAG